rnacentral:lncRNA from 1 species
AUGAUAAUCUAUCUUAAAAGCAUUUUUAUUUAAUAAAAUACAGAGUCAGCUCAAGCAAGCACAUGCAAUGAGAGACAAAAGGAUUGGUGUUAUUUAAAACUUGAGCACAGGAAGAUCUGAAGAGGAUACUGAGUGAAAUUCAAUCCAGUAAAGUUGAUACAUUCUUGGCAGCUAUUUAAGAUCCUCCAGGUUGAAUGCUAUGAGAAGGGUGAUGGAUCAUUUCUAAGCUUCCAGAAACCUCAGCUCAGAUCUUCAGACUGAAUCUGGAAAAAUGAUUACCUGAAUGUCCUCCAAAACAACACAGGGCCUCUGCUGAAAUUCUUUUCUUUUAUUAUUUAUAGAUGGGAAACAAUAUCUGCUAGUAUCAAAAUGUAAAUCAGUUUAUAACCAUACAGAGUUGGAGGACAAACACGACUGCAAGACAUCACCAUUUACAGAAGGAGGCUACUGUCAUCAUUUGGAGAGUAUAACAGAAAAUGCAUCCCAAAUAGAGACAGAAUGGCUUUUCGGCCUGGCAGAGCCCUGGCUCACACUGUUUCAGUGGCGAACAUCCAGGGUGAUAAUCCCUGCAAGCAAUCGCUUAGCUGGUGCUGAUCCUCCAGCAGGCUGUUGGAGCAAAGGUUAUCAGCAUAUUUACCACUUCUGCAGCCUCUUUGAGCAUGAGAAUUUUAGUGGCUGAGACACAAGAUUUAUACUGGGAGCACUGUCACUGCUGGAGCUGUGUAUGGCAUGUUCUAUGCUGAGUUUCUCAUGUCAAGUGAAGCAGGUGAUUGAAUUCACCAGGCUGUCUUCAGACCAAUUUUUCUGCCGCAUUAAAGUGACAUUCACUGUAAUGAAAUGUUGGUCUUCGCUGAGAACACUGAAUGGUGCAGUCUGAUAUCCAAGCUGCUUUACAGUACAUGCAGAGCAUGUACUUUUUCUUUUUUUAAUUCUUAUUCCUAGCAUGGUUGUUUAUGUGGGGUUAAUUUUCCACUUGGUCUUUUUUCAGCACAGUUUCACCUAUGGAGCUGAAAAGACACAAGCAUUUAUCUUUUUAGAUACUGGGCGAUAAAAAUAACAUAGGAAUAUCAAAUCUCAUUAGGUUUCUGAUACCAACAGCUAUACCAAGGAACAAAUCCACUUUCUCUUCCCACAAAAGCUCUGUACGUAUGCAAUCACUUAUUACAUCAUUCCUGAUACAAUUUAAAUAAUAGUUCACUUUCUUUUCCCAAGUUUUGAACUUUCAUCUUUUAAAUCUGCUUCCUACAGUAAAGUAUACUAGCUGUAUACAUGAUUUUACUGUGAAAUAUUAAACUGGAAAAAAAAUUUUGAAAUAUACAAAUAUUUUCCUUAAUAUCCACUCCUAAUUCAAAAUCAGGCUCAUCUCGAAUCAAUUUUAUUUAUAUCUUUGUAGUUAGUCCCAAAGGGCUUUUUGCAACCUAAUUUUUCUUUGAUUUAUUGAUCGUUUUACAAAACUGGAGAUGUUUGGUUGUUCAUCCAAGCUAGCUUGGAUGUAGAGUUCAUAAAUUUGUGAGCUCUAUUGUCACACAAACA